AGUGAACGCUGGCGGUAGGCCUAACACAUGCAAGUCGAACGGCAGCACAGUAAGAGCUUGCUCUUACGGGUGGCGAGUGGCGGACGGGUGAGGAAUACAUCGGAAUCUACUUUUUCGUGGGGGAUAACGUAGGGAAACUUACGCUAAUACCGCAUACGACCUACGGGUGAAAGCAGGGGAUCCUCGGACCUUGCGCGAUUGAAUGAGCCGAUGUCGGAUUAGCUAGUUGGCGGGGUAAAGGCCCACCAAGGCGACGAUCCGUAGCUGGUCUGAGAGGAUGAUCAGCCACACUGGAACUGAGACACGGUCCAGACUCCUACGGGAGGCAGCAGUGGGGAAUAUUGGACAAUGGGCGCAAGCCUGAUCCAGCCAUACCGCGUGGGUGAAGAAGGCCUUCGGGUUGUAAAGCCCUUUUGUUGGGAAAGAAAAGCAGCAGGUUAAUACCCCGCUGUUCUGACGGUACCCAAAGAAUAGGCACCGGCUAACUUCGUG
rnacentral:rRNA from 1 species